rnacentral:rRNA from 1 species
AAAUGAAUAGACGGGGGCCCGCACAAGCGGUGGAGCAUGUGGCUUAAUUCGAGGCAACGCGAAGAACCUUACCUGGGUUUGACAUUUACCCCAACGAUCGUAGAAAUACGAUUACCCGCAAGGGGUGGUAAACAGGUGCUGCAUGGCUGUCGUCAGCUCGUGCCAUGAGGUGUUCGGUUAAGUCCGGCAACGAGCGCAACCCGCGUCAUUAGUUACCAUCGGGUAAAGCCGGGGACUCUAAUGAGACUGCCUGUGUUAAGCAGGAGGAAGGAGCGGAUGACGUCAAGUCCGUAUGGCCCUUACAUCCAGGGCUGCACACGUGCUACAAUGGUCGGUACAGAAGGAAGCGAAGUCGCGAGGCGGAGCAGAUCCCGAAAGCCGAUCUUAGUUCAGAUUGCAGUCUGCAACUCGACUGCAUGAAGCCGGAAUCGCUAGUAAAGGCGUAUCAGCUACGACGCUUUGAAUACGUUCCCGGGCCUUGUACACACCGCCCGU